rnacentral:rRNA from 1 species
CGCUAUCACUCCUACGGGAGGCAGCAGUGGGGAAUAUUGCACAAUGGGCGCAAGCCUGAUGCAGCCAUGCCGCGUGUAUGAAGAAGGCCUUCGGGUUGUAAAGUACUUUCAGCAGUGAGGAAGGCGGGUACGUUAAUAGCGUGCUUGUUUGACGUUAGCUGCAGAAGAAGCACCGGCUAACUCCGUGCCAGCAGCCGCGGUAAUACGGAGGGUGCGAGCGUUAAUCGGAAUUACUGGGCGUAAAGCGCAUGCAGGUGGUUUGUUAAGUCAGAUGUGAAAGCCCGGGGCUCAACCUCGGAAUUGCAUUUGAAACUGGCAGGCUAGAGUCUUGUAGAGGGGGUAGAAUUUCAGGUGUAGCGGUGAAAUGCGUAGAGAUCUGAAGGAAUACCAGUGGCGAAGGCGGCCCCCUGGACAAAGACUGACGCUCAGAUGCGAAAGCGUGGGGAGCAAACAGGAUUAGAUACCCUGGUAG